UACGUAGGGUGCAAGCGUUAAUCGGAAUUACUGGGCGUAAAGCGUGCGCAGGCGGCUAUGCAAGACAGAUGUGAAAUCCCCGGGCUCAACCUGGGAAUGGCAUUGGAUACUGGCUCGCUAGAGUACGGUAGAGGGUGGUGGAAUUCCCGGUGUAGCAGUGAAAUGCGUAGAGAUCGGGAGGAACAUCCGUGGCGAAGGCGGCCACCUGGACCAGUACUGACACUGAGGCACGAAAGCGUGGGGAGCAAACAGG
rnacentral:rRNA from 1 species